CCUACGGGGGGCAGCAGUGAGGAAUAUUGGUCAAUGGACGAGAGUCUGAACCAGCCAAGCAGCGUGAAGGAUGACUGCCCUAUGGGUUGUAAACUUCUUUUAUAAAGGAAUAAAACGAGGCACGUGUGCCUUUUUGCAUGUACUUUAUGAAUAAGGAUCGGCUAACUCCGUGCCAGCAGCCGCGGUAAUACGGAGGAUCCGAGCGUUAACCGGAUUUAUUGGGUUUAAAGGGAGCGUAGCUGGGUUGUUAAGUCAGUGGUGAAAUGUUGGGGCUCAACCGGAAAAUUGCAGUUGAUACUGGCAGUAGGGAGUGUGUGAGAGGAUGGAGGAAUGUGGGGUGGAGGGGUGAAAU
rnacentral:rRNA from 1 species